rnacentral:lncRNA from 1 species
CAAAUCGACACAGAAAUUAACAAUUGCUCUCCCAGCUACAAAACGUAUCCAAAACCAAAGAUGUAGAACAUGUUCUAUCAUAAUCAUUUGGUAACUAAUGUAAUUACUGUCUCCCCAUGUCUGUAUUGAACAUAAAAAAAUAUCAAAUAAAUAACACUCCUAAUGCUCAGAUCGGUUGUCACCGUGCAACACAGUUAUUAACACCAUAUAGGAAAAACAUAGAACUUUAUUGUCAUUAGACACUGUCAAACAUCCAAACAUACUAUCCACACUCAUCUGUGUCCAC